UGGAGAGCUCUUCUCAGUCUACAGAGACACUAAAUACUUUCCACGAGAAUUUGUGAUUCGUCGAAUUCUCGAAAUUGGUUCAGGCGGUGUUAU
ensembl:ncRNA Y41D4B.33 ncRNA